AGGAGAGAGAGGAAGAAGACAACAAGAACAAGAGCAAGAACAAAGCAGCUUAUGUAAAAUACUGACAGCUUACUGCAAUUUUACAGCAUUCCUCACAAGGUGGUUCAGAAUAGAUCCAGUGGACUGUAGUCUGUUUAACUGAGACCUCACACAUAAUGUCAUGGUUGACAGUUACUGGUUGAAGGAAAUCCAUGUUGGGCUUCUGUGGAUGCUGGAUUCUUUCCUUCUGAGAAGAAAUAUAACACACUGACUUUGAGGUGAUGGUGGAGAAAAAGUACAAGCAGAAGACUUUUCCCAACUUCUCCAUAGAAUGAAGAGGGAAUCUUUGAACUUGAUUACCAAGGAGAUGGGAUGAUAAAUCCAUCCAGCCACUCCAAGAAGCCA
rnacentral:lncRNA from 1 species